GCUUCCUAUGCUCUCCCAUUGGAA
rnacentral:snRNA from 1 species